GUGGGCGGAGCUUCUGUCUCGACCGGUUGGGGUGAGGAGAGAGAGGAGGAAGAGAGGAGAGUGCUGCAGCAUUCACCGUCACGUCUCUCCUGCAGGUUCAAUUUGUCCUCUGUGUAACAUCUGGUCACUGGGCAGUGACGGCACAGAGAGCUAGAUAGAAGAAGUGUGUGUGUGUGUGUAGGAGAGAAAAUGUGUGAGUUUGAAAUAGUCUCUGGUGUUAACACUGCAGUAAGGGGGAAGUGUUCUAGAGUGUGUGUGUGUGUGUGUGUUAAUUUGGUGAAGUCAGCAGUAUGUAAUGCAGGACACCUCAUGGAUCACAAACUUCAGUUGCACUUUAAAGGGCCCAUAUUGUCAAAAUUGAUUUAACCCUAACCCCAUUUCCAGUUUUUUUUUAAUUAUAAAUAAGGUCGAGGGUCUGUGCGUACCGUAUGUGUCAAAAUGGUCAAUAAACAGAUAAAUACACACGAUGCCCCAGGAAUUCCGUAUAAUUGUGAUGUCAUAGCGACGCAGUCUCUGCCUUCAGCCCCGCCCCCAGCGCUCACCGUCAUUCAGUUGCUGAGCGACCAACAACACGAGAAAAGUCAGGAAGUUACAUCAUUGCACAGGAUCCAUAAGGACAUUAAUACAAGAGACCAGAAAUAACUCUGAAUUAUUUUACCUUGGCAAAAUUUCAUCGGGAACUGGCGUCGACCAGCGGCCCGCGACGUGGAGCUGCUGCUGGGCAGAGACGCCGGUGUUCUGGCCUCCUGAAUACAGACUGUAUUUGACUGUUUAUUGACCGUUUUGACACUUUCACAGUACUUACAGCCCCUGGACCUUAUUUAUUAUGAAAAAAGCCAGGAAAUAUCAAAUUUGACAAUAUGGGCUGGGGGGAAAAAUGUUUUACACUGCACCUCUAGUGACUGACCACAAGAGGUCACACUCCUCCCAAUCUCAUACACAUGUUCUGUGUGGGUUUUUUGUGUGUGUGUGUGUGUGUGUGUGUGUGUGUGCGUGUGUGAACAAAGUUCUACGGAGUGAUGAAACUAAACUCAGCCAAAAGAAUACUGGAUGGAGAAAAAUUAAAAGAGGUGCAGCUCAUGACCCGACCGCCGCCACCUCAUUCAUCAAACACUGGCGGUGGCUCUGGUACGAUGUGCUGAUGGUUUUUCCUGCCGACAGGAGCAGCAGUGGUGAAUACAGACGUAUACAGUGACUCAAAGACGUCGAAACUCCUCGGACAACUGAUCCCGAUGAGAACCAACCGAAGAGUUUUUCAGGGGGGGAAGAGGAGGAACAUCCUCCAGUGUCCGAGUCGAUCGCCUGAUGUCAGUCCACUUGGUGAGGAGGACCGGACUAAAGGCGGAGGAGGAGAGCGUCCCCAGGGAAGAUACAAACCAUCUGCCGCUGACUGGGGGGGAAAGGGUUUUACACAUAUUAUGAAAUAUGAUGAUUUUGACUGAUAUUCUUGUGAUUCUGUCCAAAGACUUUUGAACCCGCAGAUUUUAGUCAAUGUUUUAUAAAAUAAAUUUGCUUUAGAAGUUU